rnacentral:rRNA from 1 species
GUGGGGAAUAUUGGACAAUGGGCGCAAGCCUGAUCCAGCCAUGCCGCGUGAGUGAUGAAGGCCUUAGGGUUGUAAAGCUCUUUCAGUGGGGACGAUAAUGACGGUACCCACAGAAGAAGCCCCGGCUAACUUCGUGCCAGCAGCCGCGGUAAUACGAAGGGGGCUAGCGUUGUUCGGAUUUACUGGGCGUAAAGCGCACGUAGGCGGAUCGUUAAGUCGGGGGUGAAAUCCUGGAGCUCAACUCCAGAACUGCCUUCGAUACUGGCGAUCUUGAGUACGGAAGAGGUGAGUGGAACUCCUAGUGUAGAGGUGGAAUUCGUAGAUAUUAGGAAGAACACCAGUGGCGAAGGCGGCUCACUGGUCCGGUACUGACGCUGAGGUGCGAAAGCGUGGGGAGCAAACAGGAUUAGAAACCCCUGUAGUCC